rnacentral:rRNA from 1 species
AGUAGUCAUAUGCUUGUCUCAAAGAUUAAGCCAUGCAUGUCUCAGUGCAAGCCACAUUAAGGUGAAACCGCGAAUGGCUCAUUAAAUCAGUUAUGGUUCCUUGGAUCCUACCAAUCCUACUUGGAUAACUGUGGUAAUUCUAGAGCUAAUACAUGCACCCAGAGCUCCGUCCAGAAAUGGCCGGGGCGCAGUUAUUAGAUCAAAACCAAUCGGUCGGGCUCGCCCGUCCGUCGUUUUGGUGACUCUGAAUAACCACCGCUGAUCGCACGGCCUCGCGCCGGCGACGUAUCCUUCGAAUGUCUGCCUUAUCAACUGUCGAUGGUAGGUUCUGCGCCUACCAUGGUUGUAACGGGUAACGGGGAAUCAGGGUUCGAUUCCGGAGAGGGAGCCUGAGAAACGGCUACCACAUCCAAGGAAGGCAGCAGGCGCGCAAAUUACCCACUCCCGGCACGGGGAGGUAGUGACGAAAAAUAACGAUACGGGACUCAUCCGAGGCCCCGUAAUCGGAAUGAGAACACUUUAAAUCUUUUAACGAGUACCUAAUGGAGGGCAAGUCUG